UAAUCCAGGUAGGAACAUGGAUUAAAGAGGUCCAGUUUGCUUUGGAAUGUGCCUACAUAGGCAUCCCAUGAACCAGCUGGAAGCUGGGGUGGUGGCCACACAUAUUUAGAGUGUGGAUCAAUUUGAUCCAAGUAUUUUCACUCUACCUCCUCCAGUGAGAUGCGUUAGUAAAAACAGCUUCUCUGUGCUGGAUUGCAGCAAGGCAAACCAAGAGAUGGCAAUUGAAUGUUUGAAUGAGAAUGCUGUGAUUUUCUCUUUGGAUAUGGGGAGAGGUGUUUGUUUACCUUAACACAGAAUUGUCUAUCUGGGUUCUUUCUUUGACUGCUGCAACGUUAGCCCUAUCUACAUAAGCACGACAUAUUUGGCAUUUGGCUUCCUGCUUUGAAGUGUUUAUACGCAGAUGAGCUUUAGCUGAAUUUAUGGUUUGAUCUGGAGAUUCUGGUAAAUUAUUUUAACACAUUCAAGCUGGUUUCAAGUUGGUCUUCAGUGCCUGUAUAAGAGUCAUUGUUCUCCCUAUUACUUUCAUUGGGUUAGUACAAGUAUGAAAUCUGUUUCCCACAAAUAAUUUCUUAUUGCUAACAUGGUUGAAGAACCUAUUUUUGCUUUACAGGUUUGACGUCCUUAUGAGUAAAUGAAAUAAACAGAAGCUUGCUGCUGAGUUAUACGGAUUAAACAACAAGAAUAACUAACUAGUUAAAUAACUAAAUAAAAUCCAGUGCUAUCAACUAGACUAAUAAGGGCUUCAGAUCAUGGGCAUAUAUUUUAUCAAGUUCUUGGACAGUGAUUGUGGAAAAUGAAGAUAUUUUUACUGUUUUUACAAUCAUAGAAUGGGAAGAGAUUGCACGGGCCAUCUAGUCCAACCCACUGCAAUGUAGGAAAAACACAAUCAACAGAUGAUUUCCUUCAAACAGAUAGUAAAAGGGACGAUUUGGCAGAGAAGGCUAAAGACUCUUUCCUCCUCAUAUCCUCCUUUGCAAGUUGUGCAGCCUGGUAAUAAUAAUAAGAACACUUAGAUUCAGGAAAUUUUAUGUAUGGGGAUAUAGUUGCAGCAGUAUUGAAAAAUCUGAAGAAUGAACAGCUUGAGGGAUGCAGGAGAGCAGAGAAAGGAAGGGAUAGCAAUCUAUGAAAAAAGAAGCUGAAGAUGGAUUUGAAACACUAAAAUGAAAGAUACUGGCUAAGAUAAGAAUAAAGAAGAUAAUGUAGAUAAAAGGUAAGACAAGAAUAACAAAACUUAUAAAUUAAUAAAUGGUCAUGGAACCUUUCUUCUCUGCCACUGUUGCAUCUGCACUAAU
rnacentral:lncRNA from 1 species